GUGGGGAAUUUUGGACAAUGGGCGCAAGCCUGAUCCAGCAAUGCCGCGUGCAGGAAGAAGGCCUUCGGGUUGUAAACUGCUUUUGUACGGAACGAAAAGGCUCUGGUUAAUACCUGGGGCUCAUGACGGUACCGUAAGAAUAAGCACCGGCUAACUACGUGCCAGCAGCCGCGGUAAUACGUAGGGUGCAAGCGUUAAUCGGAAUUACUGGGCGUAAAGCGUGCGCAGGCGGUUUUGUAAGACAGAGGUGAAAUCCCCGGGCUCAACCUGGGAAUUGCCUUUGUGACUGCAAGGCUGGAGUGCGGCAGAGGGGGAUGGAAUUCCGCGUGUAGCAGUGAAAUGCGUAGAUAUGCGGAGGAACACCGAUGGCGAAGGCAAUCCCCUGGGCCUGCACUGACGCUCAUGCACGAAAGCGUGGGGAGCAAACAGGAUUAGAAACCCGGGUAGUCC
rnacentral:rRNA from 1 species